AUUGAACGCUGGCGGAAUGCUUUACACAUGCAAGUCGAGCGGCAGCACGGGGGCAACCCUGGUGGCGAGCGGCGAACGGGUGAGUAAUACAUCGGAACAUGCCCAGUCGUGGGGGAUAACACUUCGAAAGAAGUGCUAAUACCGCAUACGUCCUGAGGGAGAAAGCGGGGGAUCGCAAGACCUCGCGCGAUUGGAGUGGCCGAUGUCAGAUUAGCUAGUUGGUGGGGUAAAGGCCUACCAAGGCAACGAUCUGUAGCUGGUCUGAGAGGAUGAUCAGCCACACUGGGACUGAGACACGGCCCAGACUCCUACGGGAGGCAGCAGUGGGGAAUUUUGGACAAUGGGGGCAACCCUGAUCCAGCCAUUCCGCGUGAGUGAAGGAGGCCUUCGGGUUGUAAAGCUCUCUCGGCAGGAACGAAACGGUAAGCUCUAACAUAGCUUGCUAAUGACGGUACCUGAAGAAGAAGCACCGGCUAACUACGUGCCAGCAGCCGCGGUAACAC
rnacentral:rRNA from 1 species